CUGCGACCUGGAGGACAACUGGCGGCUGCCCGCGACGCUGGAGCCGUUGUUCGACCAGUUCGACGCCGAGGUCGAGGU
rnacentral:tRNA from 1 species